rnacentral:rRNA from 1 species
GGUUAAGCGACUAAGCGUACACGGUGGAUGCCCUGGCAGUCAGAGGCGAUGAAGGACGUGCUAAUCUGCGAAAAGCGUCGGUAAGGUGAUAUGAACCGUUAUAACCGGCGAUGUCCGAAUGGGGAAACCCAGUGCAAUUCGUUGCACUAUCGUUAACUGAAUACAUAGGUUAACGAGGCGAACCGGGGGAACUGAAACAUCUAAGUACCCCGAGGAAAAGAAAUCAACCGAGAUUCCCCCAGUAGCGGCGAGCGAACGGGGAGCAGCCCAGAGUCUGAAUCAGCUUGUGUGUUAGUGGAACGGUCUGGAAAGUCCGACGGUACAGGGUGAUAGUCCCGUACACCAAAAUGCACAGGCUGUGAACUCGAAGAGUAGGGCGGGACACGUGGUAUCCUGUCUGAAUAUGGGGGGACCAUCCUCCAAGGCUAAAUACUCCUGACUGACCGAUAGUGAACCAGUACCGUGAGGGAAAGGCGAAAAGAACCCCGGCGAGGGGAGUGAAAAAGAACCUGAAACCGUGUACGUACAAGCAGUGGGAGCACCUUCGGGUGUGACUGCGUACCUUUUGUAUAAUGGGUCAGCGACUUAUAUUCUGUAGCAAGGUUAACCGUAUAGGGGAGCCGCAGGGAAACCGAGUCUUAACUGGGCGUUAAGUUGCAGGGUAUAGACCCGAAACCCGGUGAUCUAGCCAUGGGCAGGUUGAAGGUUGGGUAACACUAACUGGAGGACCGAACCGACUAAUGUUGAAAAAUUAGCGGAUGACUUGUGGCUGGGGGUGAAAGGCCAAUCAAACCGGGAGAUAGCUGGUUCUCCCCGAAAGCUAUUUAGGUAGCGCCUCGUGAAUUCAUCUUCGGGGGUAGAGCACUGUUUCGGCUAGGGGGUCAUCCCGACUUACCAACCCGAUGCAAACUACGAAUACCGAAGAAUGUUAUCACGGGAGACACACGGCGGGUGCUAACGUCCGUCGUGAAGAGGGAAACAACCCAGACCGCCAGCUAAGGUCCCAAAGUCAUGGUUAAGUGGGAAACGAUGUGGGAAGGCACAGACAGCCAGGAUGUUGGCUUAGAAGCAGCCAUCAUUUAAAGAAAGCGUAAUAGCUCACUGGUCGAGUCGGCCUGCGCGGAAGAUGUAACGGGGCUAAACCAUGCACCGAAGCUGCGGCAGCGACACUAUGUGUUGUUGGGUAGGGGAGCGUUCUGUAAGCCUGCGAAGGUGUGCUGUGAGGCAUGCUGGAGGUAUCAGAAGUGCGAAUGCUGACAUAAGUAACGAUAAAGCGGGUGAAAAGCCCGCUCGCCGGAAGACCAAGGGUUCCUGUCCAACGUUAAUCGGGGCAGGGUGAGUCGACCCCUAAGGCGAGGCCGAAAGGCGUAGUCGAUGGGAAACAGGUUAAUAUUCCUGUACUUGGUGUUACUGCGAAGGGGGGACGGAGAAGGCUAUGUUAGCCGGGCGACGGUUGUCCCGGUUUAAGCAUGUAGGCUGGUUGUCCAGGCAAAUCCGGAUAAUCAAGGCUGAGGUGUGAUGACGAGGCACUACGGUGCUGAAGUAACAAAUGCCCUGCUUCCAGGAAAAGCCUCUAAGCAUCAGGUAACAUCAAAUCGUACCCCAAACCGACACAGGUGGUCAGGUAGAGAAUACCAAGGCGCUUGAGAGAACUCGGGUGAAGGAACUAGGCAAAAUGGUGCCGUAACUUCGGGAGAAGGCACGCUGGUGUGUAGGUGAAGCCCCUGCGGGUGGAGCUGAGACCAGUCGAAGAUACCAGCUGGCUGCAACUGUUUAUUAAAAACACAGCACUGUGCAAACACGAAAGUGGACGUAUACGGUGUGACGCCUGCCCGGUGCCGGAAGGUUAAUUGAUGGGGUUAUCCGUAAGGAGAAGCUCUUGAUCGAAGCCCCGGUAAACGGCGGCCGUAACUAUAACGGUCCUAAGGUAGCGAAAUUCCUUGUCGGGUAAGUUCCGACCUGCACGAAUGGCGUAAUGAUGGCCAGGCUGUCUCCACCCGAGACUCAGUGAAAUUGAACUCGCUGUGAAGAUGCAGUGUACCCGCGGCAAGACGGAAAGACCCCGUGAACCUUUACUAUAGCUUGACACUGAACAUUGAGCCUUGAUGUGUAGGAUAGGUGGGAGGCUUUGAAGCGUGGACGCCAGUCUGCGUGGAGCCAACCUUGAAAUACCACCCUUUAAUGUUUGAUGUUCUAACGUUGGCCCCUGACCGGGGUUGCGGACAGUGUCUGGUGGGUAGUUUGACUGGGGCGGUCUCCUCCCAAAGCGUAACGGAGGAGCACGAAGGUUAGCUAAUCCUGGUCGGACAUCAGGAGGUUAGUGCAAUGGCAUAAGCUAGCUUGACUGCGAGCGUGACGGCGCGAGCAGGUGCGAAAGCAGGUCAUAGUGAUCCGGUGGUUCUGAAUGGAAGGGCCAUCGCUCAACGGAUAAAAGGUACUCCGGGGAUAACAGGCUGAUACCGCCCAAGAGUUCAUAUCGACGGCGGUGUUUGGCACCUCGAUGUCGGCUCAUCACAUCCUGGGGCUGAAGUAGGUCCCAAGGGUAUGGCUGUUCGCCAUUUAAAGUGGUACGCGAGCUGGGUUUAGAACGUCGUGAGACAGUUCGGUCCCUAUCUGCCGUGGGCGCUGGAGAAUUGAGGGGGGCUGCUCCUAGUACGAGAGGACCGGAGUGGACGCAUCACUGGUGUUCGGGUUGUCAUGCCAAUGGCACUGCCCGGUAGCUAAAUGCGGAAGAGAUAAGUGCUGAAAGCAUCUAAGCACGAAACUUGCCCCGAGAUGAGUUCUCCCUGAGACUUUAAGUCUCCUGAAGGAACGUUAAAGACGAUGACGUUGAUAGGCCGGGUGUGUAAGCGCAGCGAUGCGUUGAGCUAACCGGUACUAAUGAACCGUGAGGCUUAACCUU